rnacentral:rRNA from 1 species
UACAGAGGGUGCUAGCGUUGUUCGGAAUCAUUGGGCGUAAAGGGCGUGUAGGCGGUUUGUUAAGUCAUGUGUGAAAUCCCUCGGCUCAACCGGGGAACGACGCAUGAAACUGGCAAGCUAGAGUACCAAAGAGGGGGGUGGAAUUCCCGGUGUAGCGGUGAAAUGCGUAGAGAUCCGGAGGAACCCCAGAGGCGAAGGCGGCCCCCUGGCUCGUACCUGACGCUCAGCCACGAAAGCAUGGGGAGCGAACGGG